GUCCCUGUAGUUCAAUGGAUAGAACCGCGGUUUCCUAAACCGUAGAUCCCAGUUCGAUUCUGGGCGGGGAUACCA
rnacentral:tRNA from 1 species